UACGUAGGUGGCAAGCGUUGUCCGGAUUUACUGGGCGUAAAGAGCGCGCAGGCGGUCAGAUAAGUCGAAUGUGAAAGCCCCCGGCUCAACUGGGGAGGGUCAUUCGAUACUGUUCGACUCGAAGGCAGGAGAGGGAAGUGGAAUUCCCGGUGUAGUGGUGAAAUGCGUAGAUAUCGGGAGGAACACCAGUGGCGAAGGCGGCUCUCUGGACGGUACUGACGCUGAGACGCGAAAGCGUGGGGAGCGAACAGG
rnacentral:rRNA from 1 species